CCUACGGGAGGCAGCAGUGGGGAAUAUUGGACAAUGGGCGAAAGCCUGAUCCAGCAAUGCCGCGUGAGUGAUGAAGGCCUUAGGGUUGUAAAGCUCUUUUACCAGGGAUGAUAAUGACAGUACCUGGAGAAUAAGCUCCGGCUAACUCCGUGCCAGCAGCCGCGGUAAUACGGAGGGAGCUAGCGUUGUUCGGAAUUACUGGGCGUAAAGCGUGCGUAGGCGGUGAUUCAAGUCAGAGGUGAAAGCCUGGAGCUCAACUCCAGAACGGCCUUUGAAACUAGAUCGCUAGAAUUAUGGAGAGGUAAGUGGAAUUCCGAGUGUAGAGGUGAAAUUCGUAGAUAUUCGGAAGAACACCAGUGGCGAAGGCGACUUACUGGACAUAUAUUGACGCUGAGGUACGAAAGCGUGGGGAGCAAACAGGAUUAGGAUACCCUGGUAGUCCACGCCGUAAACGAUGAUAACUAGCUGUUCGGGCUCUCAGAGCUUGAGUGGCGCAGCUACGACAUAGUUAGUCGCCGUCGGGAGGUACGGUCGGCGAGUAAGUUAAACGUUAACUUAAAGUUAGUAAGUUAGUUACGGCGUUGAGGACGUGCCGACGGACGACGACGAGGGAGGAGG
rnacentral:rRNA from 1 species